rnacentral:rRNA from 1 species
GGAAUCUUCGGCAAUGGGGGGCAACCCUGACCGAGCAACGCCGCGUGAGUGAAGAAGAUUUUCGGAUCGUAAAGCUCUGUUGUAAGAGAAGAACGUGUGUGAGAGUGGAAAGUUCACACAGUGACGGUAACUUACCAGAAAGGGACGGCUAACUACGUGCCAG